rnacentral:rRNA from 1 species
UAGGGAAUAUUAGAAAUGGACGAAAGACCGAUCUAGCAACACCGCGUGUGCGAAGAAGGCCUUCGGGUCGUAAAGCACUUUUUGGAAGGAAUAGGAAGGAAUGUACUUCCAGAAUAAGUCUCGGCUAACUACGUGCCAGCAGCCGCGGUAACACGUAGGAGGCGAACGUUAUCCGGAUUUACUGGGCGUAAAGCGCGUGUAGGUGGUUCUGUAAGUAGGGCGUGAAAGCUCCUGGCUCAACUGGGAGAGGCCGUUCUAAACUACAGAACUAUAGGAUGGUAGAUGGAGGUGGAAUUCCAGGGGUAGCGGUGGAAUGCGCAGAUAUCUGGAGGAACACCAGUGGCGAAGGCGGCCUCCUGGACCAUUCCUGACACUCAGACGCGAAAGCUAGGGUAGCAAGCG